rnacentral:lncRNA from 10 species
UCACCUGGUCAGCUAAGCUUAUUGUUCCCAUCUAGAACAAGGAAUGCUGCCUAGUCCAUCAGAUGUAAUUAAAGUGAAACUUGUGGGGAAGAGGAAGCUACGGCUCAUAUUUCAAGGACUUGCAGCUGGAAGAAGACAUCCACUGUUUUCCACCCUUUUCCCCAGCAGAAACCAUCUCUAUCCACCUCCCAGACCCUAUUUAUUGUAUUUAUUAUCUGUGAUGCACUUCACACACUAUAUGUAGUAGAGUUCCCUAAGAUUCCCUUUAA